rnacentral:rRNA from 1 species
CAGCCGCCACGGGAACACGGAGGGUGCAAGCGUUAAUCGGAAUUACUGGGCGUAAAGCGCACGCAGGCGGUCUGUCAAGUCAGAUGUGAAAUCCCCGGGCUUAACCUGGGAACUGCAUUUGAAACUGGCAGGCUAGAGUCUUGUAGAGGGGGGUAGAAUUCCAGGUGUAGCGGUGAAAUGCGUAGAGAUCUGGAGGAAUACCGGUGGCGAAGGCGGCCCCCUGGACAAAGACUGACGCUCAGGUGCGAAAGCGUGGGGAGCAAACAGGAUUAGAUACCCCAGUAGUCCCUGUCUCUUAUAC